rnacentral:rRNA from 1 species
UUGACCUCGGAUCAGGUAGGGAUACCCGCUGAACUUAAGCAUAUCAAUUUUCUCAAGGUUGACCUCGGAUCAGGUAGGGAUACCCGCUGAACUUAAGCAUAUCAAU